AUUGGGCGUCACCGCGCUACGUGUAAUCGUGACGCCAGUCUCGCGUGAUGAGACGUGGGAUAUUUGUGAGACCGGAGGCUACGAGCUUGUAGUUAAUAGUUUUGCGGGCGGUUCAUGAGUAGCGAUUCGGGAGUGCAGCUUGUGUUAGUUAUAGCGGGACUGUUGGGCAGUAGGAAGCCCUGUAGGGGAGGGGUCAUGCAGGCACCCUAGUAAUGAUAUAGGGGUGCAGCACAGCCGACCCCCAAUAAGACCCCAAACCCGCCGGGCCCGGGACGACUGUCCCCCUUGUCAACCCCUGAUGGCGGCCCUGAGUACAGGCCUCUCUACGAGUUCAGGAGAUCUGACGCAGAGUGCAGAUGAAGAUGGCUUCCUAGAUGCCCCACUUUUGCCCUCUCAGAAGCUUCAGUCUGUGAUCAGGCCGCACUUUCACCCAGUGCCAACUAUCUGCAUCUCCAUACUGCUAGCCUUGGUAAAUUUGGCGUAUGUAACUCUCGCUGUGGUGGCUAUUUAUUUUUGUUUGUUUUCUGAAAAAGAGAAGAAAUGCAAACAAUCAAUUGAUCCGUUUCAGUUAAGCACUGUUUUAGUAAUUUCAAAGCUCGUUCUGUGGCUACUUCAUGUAGUGAACGAGCGCUUUGCCCAGCACCAUCACUGCAAAGCUAGAAGCCGAGGCUUCCUUCACUUGUACAGAUCCACGAGGCACCUCAAAGCUCUUCCUCUAAUUAUACAUUCCACAGGAAAUGCAGCUCUGCUUCUAAUACUGUCUGUUCAGGAUUCCUUCACAAGCAACAGCCAGCUAUAUCCUUGUCUCAUCCUCAGUGUUUUACUGCUGGAGCUGAUUUUGUCUGUGAUAUGUCUCAUAAUUUACACAGAAUUUCAGGGAAUAAGCUGCAACAUAAAAGAUGCACAUGAUUUGAAACUAUUACACUGGGACAACAUAGAUUUAUUUAUUUAUUUGCAACUAGUGUGCAGCAAUGAGGAUUUACAGAUUUAACAAAAGUAAACCUAGACCAGAUAUUAUUGAAGAAGAGAAGAUUAAUGCAUUUCAUGGUCAUGUAAAUCCAGAAAUAGGAUUCAGGCACAGUGCAAGUUUAGAAGAAGUUGUUGAAAAACAAGGUGAUACAAUAGAAUACCUUAAGCAUCACAACGCAUUACUGAGCAAACAGUUACUUGCUUUGGCAUCAAAUCAAGACUAGAAUUCCAGCAUCUCUGCAAUACAAGCUUGCGGGUGGACUCAUCAGUUUAGAGCAAUAUGUAUUAUUGUCUUGGAUCACUGUCGCAUGUAUGAAGUUGAUAAUUUCAGUAUUAACGGAGCCAAACAUUUUCAUGUAUAUAAAUUAUCUUUUCUGUUUUAAUUUUGUUUUGUGUUCUGCUUUGUAUGUAACUGUGUGAAUUUUUGUGGGCCUGUUGUGAAUAAUACAAUGUACAUUAUACAUAUAUAUAUAUUUUGGUAAAGACUGACCUGAAUGUUAAGGGUAAUAGAACACCUGUGUGAUUUUGAGUCUUUUGAGUGUUGUGUAAUUCCACGGAUGGGAUCAAAAAUGCUUAAAAUGUCCUCCCUCAUUCACUUUGGGGGUGACAAGUAACAAGUGCUUAUUGCAGAACUUUCAAGCAAUAAGCAGUGUGACUGCUUUUGGUGCUUGAGGGCAAUUUCCAUUCAAAGUGAAAGGGGGGUUGAUUGCAAGCACCACGUUUCCCACCCAUGAAACUUAAGAAAAACUGUUUUUUUGGUUUUUUUUUAAAUGCCCUAAACUACAUAGUGCCAUUACCGUAAGGGCUGUGCCGCAAGUGCUACUUGUGGUGGGUAUCAAACCACUUCUGUUUUGCCUGUGUCUUCUAGUUAAAAUCCUGCAAAUACCUAUGGGCCCAUGGCAUGCGCAACAUUUUGAUUGCUCCUGCUUGUGGUUGGAAUUAAAGUGCUGAUCAGUAUCAGAUUCAAUCUGAUUCAGUUAAAUGGGAAGCACCAUGGGUUGCUUGGUACCCACGACUAGUGAUCAAAAAUAUGCAAGCACGUCUUUUUGAGCGUUAGUAGCAGGAGGCAGGGUAACCCACACUGGUGCAAGCAGUAUCAUUUUGAUCACCACUAAAAAAAAAGCAGAGGCAGUCAAAAUACUGUAUGAGUCAAGGGCUUACAGCUAUUUGUGAUUGACAAGUUAAAAAUCAUAUUUUAAGUUGUACGUUUGCAACCCUCAAGAAAGAUUUUCAUGUAAUAAAAAACUAAAAUAAAAA